rnacentral:rRNA from 1 species
UACCAGCACCCCGAGUGGUCGGGACGUUUAUUGGGCCUAAAGCAUCCGUAGCCGGUUCUACAAGUCUUCCGUUAAAUCCACCUGCUUAACAGAUGGGCUGCGGAAGAUACUAUGGAGCUAGGAGGCGGGAGAGGCAAGCGUACUCGAUGGGUAGGGGUAAAAUCCGUUGAUCCAUUGAAGACCACCAGUGGCGAAGGCGGCUUGCCAGAACGCGCUCGACGGUGAGGGAUGAAAGCUGGGGAGCAAACCGG